UAGAAGGCGCCUGAGAAACGGCUACCACAUCUACGGAUGGCAGCAGGCGCGCAAAUUACCCAAUGCAGACACUGUGAGGUAGUGACGAGAAAUAAUAAAGCGGGACUUCUGUUUCGCUAUUAUAAUGAGUAACAACCAAAGGUCGUUACGAUUAGCAACUGAUGGGAAAGUCUGGUGCCAGCAGCCGCGGUAAUACCAGCGUCAGUAGCAUAUAUUAAAAUUGUUGCAGUUAAAACGUCCGUAGUCUGUACGUCGUCCCAAACUCACUGCAGUCUUGCGUCUUCUUCACUGAAUGCGCAAGUAUCUGCAGUCACUCCCUUGAUCAAAUUAGGUUGUUCAAGGUAGACAGAGUCUUCAUAUUUUCACAUGGAAUUGGGUGAGGGAACUUAAGAGUUUAAGUUUCUCGUCUUAGGAUCAUCCGGGGUCAUUCGUACUCGUCCGCGAGAGGUGGAAUUCUUGGACCGGACGAAGACGACCAGCAGCGAAAGCAUCUGUCAGGGAUGUUUUCUGCGACAAAGGACGAAGGUCAGGGUAUCGAAGACGAUUAGAUACCGUCGUAGUCCUGACUGUAAACUAUGCCAACUUGGGUCUUGCUGGGCUAAUGCUUUGUGAGACCCACACAGAAAUGAAAGUGUAUGGGUUCUGGGGGUAGUAUGGACACAAGUCUGAAACUUGAAGGAAUUGACGGAAGAGCACCAUAAGACGUGGAGCUUGCGGCUUAAUUUGACUCAACGCGGGAAAACUUACCAGGUCAAGACAUGGGCGUGAUUGACAGGCUAAUGACUUUUCUCGAUUCCAUGGAUGGUGGUGCAUGGUCGCACUUAGUUGGUGCAGUGAUUUGUCAGGUUUAUUCCGGUAACGAACGAGACCUCGGCCUUGUAAAUAGCUUUGCUGCUUACAGGGACAUUGGCGGCUACGCCAAGGAAGUUCGAGGCAAUUGCAGAUCUGGAAUGCCCUUAGAUGUCCUGGGUCGCACGCGUGCUACAAUGACGCCACGAGCGAGGUUGCGUGACGAAAGUUACGCAUAAUCAGCAGUCGGCGUCUUAAGGGACAGUCUCUUGACACUGUGGGACUCUAACUAGGAAUGUCUCGUAAGCACAAGUCAACAUCUUGUGUUGAUUACGUCCCUGCUCUUUGUACACACCGCCUGUCGCUCCUACCGAUCGAGUGUUUAGAUGAAUUUGAUGGACGUGAGGAAGUCAAAUAAAUCUGAGCACUUAGAGGAAGGAGAAGUCGUAACAAGGU
rnacentral:rRNA from 1 species